rnacentral:tRNA from 1 species
AUUUAGGUAGUUUAUAAAAAAUAUAGAUUUGUGGAUUCUAAGAAAUUUAAUAGUUCUAAAUU